rnacentral:lncRNA from 1 species
UGACAUCUUCAUAUAUAACCCUUUGUUCUUCGUUGAGUUUAGGAAACAACUCUUGAUGGAUCCUACUUUCUUCUGCGAUGUCAAACUGGUACUGGCGAGGCAUUUUUUUGUUUUCCAUAUCUUCUAAAACUGUUUGGCUUGGCAGCGGCAUUCAUGUGAACUCUGUAAGUGAUGUUUCAUGGUUUUGUAGGAGGCCCUCUAUUUCAAUGAGAGUGUACUGCUGGAGUUCAUGGGGGCUAAGUUCAAGGGCUGGAAAUUGCAGUAACCGACGCUGGUGGCGAAGAACGUCUUCUGACAUACAUUGCCA